rnacentral:rRNA from 1 species
GACGAACGCUGGCGGCGUGCUUAACACAUGCAAGUCGAACGGAAAGGCCCUGCUUUUGUGGGGUGCUCGAGUGGCGAACGGGUGAGUAACACGUGAGUAACCUGCCCUUGACUUUGGGAUAACUUCAGGAAACUGGGGCUAAUACCGGAUAGGAGCUCCUGCUGCAUGGUGGGGGUUGGAAAGUUUCGGCGGUGGGGGAUGGACUCGCGGCUAACCAGCUUGUUGGUGGGGUAGUGGCUUACCAAGGCUUUGACGGGUAGCCGGCCUGAGAGGGUGACCGGCCACAUUGGGACUGAGAUACGGCCCAGACUCCUACGGGAGGCAGCAGUGGGGAAUAUUGCACAAUGGGCGGAAGCCUGAUGCAGCAACGCCGCGUGCGGGAUGACGGCCUUCGGGUUGUAAACCGCUUUCGCCUGUGACGAAGCGUGAGUGACGGUAAUGGGUAAAGAAGCACCGGCUAACUACGUG